AACCGCAAAGGGCUCAGUAAACCAGUUUUAAUUUACUAGAGUUUUUACGUUACGUACGUGGAUACCUGUGGUAAUUCUAGAGCUAAUACAUGCAAUUAAGUCCGGACCAGAAAUGGAAAGGACGCUUUUAUUAGAUCAAAACCAUUCGCCCGACUUGUUUGGGCGUUGUUUUGGUGAAUCUAGAUAACACUUGAGAUCGUACAGUCAUUGUACUGACGACAUCUCUUUCAAACGCCUGACUUAUCAGCUGUCGAUGGUAGACUCUGUGUCUACCAUGGCCCUCACGGGUAACGGGGAAUCAGGGUUCGAUUCCGGAGAGGGAGCCUGAGAAACGGCUACCACAUCCAAGGAAGGCAGCAGGCACGCAAAUUACCCACUCCCGGCACGGGGAGGUAGUGACAAAAAAUAACGAUACGGGACUCUAUUGAGGCCCCGUAAUCGGAAUGAGUACACUUUAAAUCCUUUAACAAGGAUCCAUUGGAGGGCAAGUCUGGUGCCAGCAGCCGCGGUAAUUCCAGCUCCAAUAGCGUAUAUUAAAGUUGUUGCGGUUAAAAAGCUCGUAGUUGGUUCUGCGUGCCGCGCUGUCGGUUCGCCGCCUGUCGGUGUAACUGGCAUGUCGCGGCAUGUCCUGUCGGUGGUGAACGAUGUUCUUCGGCGCAAGCUGAAGCUUAAUCGCUAAAGCUGGUGCCGUGUGUAAUGUCGUUUGCCGAUUUCUCCUACUCCGGUGCUCUUAAACGAGUGUCGAAGUAGGCCGACACGUUCACUUUGAACAAAUUAGAGUGCUUAAAGCAGGCUAAAAUAUCUGCCUGAAUAGUGGUGCAUGGAAUGAUAAAAUAGGACCUCGGUUCUAUUUUGUUGGUUUUAGGAAUAUGAGGUAAUGAUCAAUGUGGACUGGCGGGGGCAUUCGUAUUGCGACGUUAGAGGUGAAAUUCUUGGAUCGUCGCAAGACGCA
rnacentral:rRNA from 1 species